rnacentral:lncRNA from 10 species
CUUGCAAGAAACCUCAGGACUUGAGUAACAGCAACAUGCUCACCAAGCUCCUGUAUCUACUGGAAAAUGGAAGUCCAGCCUUACCAACUUGUGAACCUUGUCUGAAGGGAGCCAGGGCCUGCCAAUGGAACCACCUCCAGGAGCUGCAACUGCUGUUGUCAUUAAUACCAUUGUGUCUAUUUUUUGAGAGAGAUAAACUUUUCAUGGUGUUACAUUUUGGAAAAAAAAAAAAAAGACUAGGUGAACAGUCAGGUAGGAAAGCAGCAUAACAGUCCCUUAAAUUCUGAUCAUGUAGGACAUUCUUCUUUGCCCUGGGCCUGGGAAAAUGCAGCAUGUUCCAGAGCAAAAGUCCUAAUGAGGGGAACUAAACCAGUGGGACCCAAACCAAUGUCCUGGCUCACUGAGGACCCGUUAGAACCAAAUCUCUGGGUGUGGACAGGCUCCCAUACUUUUCAAAAAUUCCCCUGAUGACUAAUGAACAACCAGAGGUAAGAACCAGUGGCCCAGAGGAAUAACCAGCCCAGCUGUUGUACGAGCUCGCUAAGCUGGCUCAGGUCAAUGUUGAAUUCUCUGCUAGGCAGCUCCUCAUAAGAACUGGCAGAGAUGGUUCUUACACAACAACAGGUGACAACUCCAGACUCUGCCGGAAGUUCCAGGAUCUGGGUUCCCGGACAAUGCAUGACACUCAGUCCAGCAUUGCAGGUGGAAGAGCGACGGUGAAAAGACCAAAGUCAAUUAAAAUGUGUUAACCAAAACAGGAAACAUGAGUGAGGUGAUUGAGAGUGUGUUUAACUUAGAUGUGUGAUUUUAUCAAUACUUUCAUUGUUCAAAAACUCUUAUUUUUUAAAGAUAUUUUCAAAACAAAUCCAAACUUUACUUUUCA